AUGUCUAUUGUAGAGGCUCAAGUAGAAGAGGGGGCUAAGAAGGAAAGAGUCGUAGCUGGAGCUCAAUUCACCUGGAUUGCUGUGAAUUUUACGCAUUGCCCUCAGGAUGCUGAUGAGGAUGUGGUGCAGACAUAUGCUCGUGUGUACAUGUGGUACAUUAUCAGCCGGACUUUGUUUGCUGACAGUACUGGCAAGAAUGCUCCAUGGAUGUGGCUGAAGCCAGGCUAUUCUGGAAAUGACCCCGGUUGGAAAAGGCAAAGAGGAAGGUGCACUUCGAACAUUCAUUAA
rnacentral:rRNA from 1 species